rnacentral:misc_RNA from 1 species
UUUCCGUAGGUGAACCUGCGAAAGGAUCAUCAUUGAACCUCUAAAUAUCAACAAACACCUGUGUGAACAGUUCGGGGGCUGGGAAGAAGAUUUCGGUCUUCAGCCCGCCUUCAUUUUUUUCCUCAUUUGAGGAAGAAAACGAAAAAACCCCAAAACCUCUUCUUUUUACUUUGACAGAAAUCCAAAUGUUAUCGCAAGAUAACGCUUGAAAAAAAAAAAAAGACAACUUUUAACAACGGAUCUCUUGGCUCUC